GACGAACGCUGGCGGCGUGCUUAACACAUGCAAGUCGAACGGAAAGGCCCUGCUUUUGUGGGGUGCUCGAGUGGCGAACGGGUGAGUAACACGUGAGUAACCUGCCCUUGACUUUGGGAUAACUUCAGGAAACUGGGGCUAAUACCGGAUAGGAGCUCCUGCUGCAUGGUGGGGGUUGGAAAGUUUCGGCGGUUGGGGAUGGACUCGCGGCUUAUCAGCUUGUUGGUGGGGUAGUGGCUUACCAAGGCUUUGACGGGUAGCCGGCCUGAGAGGGUGACCGGCCACAUUGGGACUGAGAUACGGCCCAGACUCCUACGGGAGGCAGCAGUGGGGAAUAUGGCACAAUGGGCGGAAGCCUGAUGCAGCAACGCCGCGUGCGGGAUGACGGCCUUCGGGUUGUAAACCGCCUUCGCCUGUGACGAAGCGUGAGUGACGGUAAUGGGUAAAGAAGCACCGGCUAACUACGUG
rnacentral:rRNA from 1 species